rnacentral:tRNA from 1 species
GCCUGUAUAAUUUAUAGAGAAUAGUGUAUUGAAGCUGCAAGGGAGAUUGUUAUAUCUGUGGGCA